AGAGUUUGAUCCAUGGCUCAGAUUGAACGCUGGCGGCAGGCCUAACACAUUCAAGUCGAGCGGUAGAGAGAAGCUUGCUUCUCUUGAGAGCGGCGGACGGGUGAGUAAUGCCUAGGAAUCUGCCUGGUAGUGGGGGAUAACGUUCGGAAACGGACGCUAAUACCGCAUACGUCCUACGGGAGAAAGCAGGGGACCUUCGGGCCUUGCGCUAUCAGAUGAGCCUAGGUCGGAUUAGCUAGUUGGUGAGGUAAUGGCUCACCAAGGCGACGAUCCGUAACUGGUCUGAGCGGAUGAUCAGUCACACUGGAACUGAGACACGGUCCAGACUCCUACGGGAGGCAGCAGUGGGGAAUAUUGGACAAUGGGCGAAAGCCUGAUCCAGCCAUGCCGCGUGUGUGAAGAAGGUCUUCGGAUUGUAAAGCACUUUAAGUUGGGAGGAAGGGUUGUAGAUUAAUACUCUGCAAUUUGACG
rnacentral:rRNA from 1 species